CCUACGGGUGGCAGCAGUGAGGAAUAUUGGUCAAUGGGCGGAAGCCUGAACCAGCCAAGUAGCGUGCAGGAUGACGGCCCUACGGGUUGUAAACUGCUUUUAUACGGGAAUAACGCGCCUUACGUGUAGGGCUUUGCAUGUACCGUAUGAAUAAGGACCGGCUAAUUCCGUGCCAGCAGCCGCGGUAAUACGGAAGGUCCGGGCGUUAUCCGGAUUUAUUGGGUUUAAAGGGUGCGUAGGCCGCAUGUCAAGCGUGCUGUGAAAUGUCCGGGCUCAACCCGGGCCUUGCAGCGCGAACUGGGGUGCUGGAGUCCGCGGGAGGCAGGCGGAAUUCGUCGUGUAGCGGUGAAAUGCUUAGAUAUGACGAAGAACCCCGAUUGCGAAGGCAGCUUGCUGCAGCGGAACUGACGCUGAUGCUCGAAAGCGCGGGUAUCGAACAGGAUUAGAUACCCGUGUAGUC
rnacentral:rRNA from 1 species